CUCCAUUACCUCAGCCCUACAGGUCUCCAUUACCCCUACCCAUGGUGUUACCUCAGCCCUACAGGUCUCCAUUACCCCUACCCAUGGUGUUACCUCAGCCCUACAGGGCUCCAUUACCCCUACCCAUGGUGUUACCUCAGGGCUCCAUUACCCCUACCCAUUGACAUUACCUGGUCAGACGAGGGCUUAUUGAGUUCUUUAGCCAGACAGUAAAUCGCUGUACACACCAUGGUCAACUAUUUCAGUGUUGUUAUUUUUAUAAUAUUAGCCUGGUUGUCAGUGGAACUGUCCAGUGCUGCAGCAUGUUAGUGUACAGACCACUGUUAUGUCAGCUGUUAUACCAGCUGUGUGUGCUGUUAUACCAGCUGUGUGUGCUGUUAUACCAGCUGUGUGUGCUGUUAUACCAGCUGUGUGUGCUGUUAUACCAGCUGUGUGUGCUGUUAUACCAGCUGUGUGUGCUGUUAUACCAGCUGUGUGUGCUGUUAUACCAGCUGUGUGUGCUGUUAUACCAGCUGUGUGUGCUGUUAUACCAGCUGUGUGUGCUGUUAUACCAGCUGUGUGUGCUGUAUACUCGGCCGUGUGUGUGUGUGUGUGUGUGUGUGUGUGUGUGCUGUAUACUCGGCUGUGUGUGUGUGUGUG
rnacentral:lncRNA from 1 species